AUCAUUUACUAGGCCAUAAAGGAAGCUUAGAUUGCACUGGUGGCAGUACAGGAGCGUAAGUGGAAUAACUACGGAGUCCAAAUUUAGAAACAUAGCACAACGCAUUAAAUAGAAGGAAUUAAAGAAGGGUAUCUCGUACAGUCUUAUCGUAGCACUACCUUUCACUUUAACUGCCUCUGAAGUCUUUUUUUUUUUUGAGCUAUUUAGAACUAAAAGGAAGAUUCUCUACCAGAGAAAAGGAUGCACUGCCAGAACAAGAAUGAAGAUUCAGCAGAGACAAAGAUGAAUUACCAGACAAAGGAGGAAGAUUACAUCACUUGAAAUGGGAGAGUGUUACAAAUACAAAAAAGAGUAAUGACAAACUGGAACCUUUUGGAUGAAAACUUAAGAAGGAAGAUAUGCUCCAAACAGUGAUGAGUACUGAGCCAUGACCCCAAACUACUCCUACUUUGUGCAAAUGCCCCAAAAAUACAUGCAUCGUGAAUGAUGUUCUCAGCAGCAGCUUCUUCAUUCCACAACCAGCCCCUUUUGCUGCACUGACUAAAGUGGAUACAAAGAAUUAGCUGUACUUAGCUAUGUCCUGCUGUCCAGAAACAGCUCAGCUGCCCCCAGCAAUACCUGGGACUGUGCUCUGAGUCCUGGCUGUGUUCUUGCAGAGGGAUUUGAAGGGCACGUAAGUCUCAACAUCGUUGCCCAAUUCCAAGAAUUCGCUCUGUGUCUGAUCAAGACAGCAGCUCACAUACAUUUGUCAAGGAAGGAUGGGGAUAGUGCUACACAAGCCUUUUUUUUUUUAGUAUACUGAAUAAACACUCAUUUAAUUUUACAAUCUUCAGCUGAUAUUUUAUGAAUUCUUGCUGAAUACCCUUAAUGUUCCUUUGUACAUUUUCUUUUCUGAAGCACCUUUUCUGAAGUAGUAGUUCAGCCACACUGAUGUAGCUGAGUUCCAGCAGUAUCCCAUACUAAUUCUGAUUUAAAAAAGAAUAAUUAAAAAAAAAGGAAUAAAACUUACUUAGGAG
ensembl:lncRNA